rnacentral:rRNA from 2 species
UACGUAGGCAGCAAGCGUUGUUCGGAGUUACUGGGCGUAAAGGGUGUGUAGGCGGUUCUCUAAGUCUGGUGUGAAAUCUCCCGGCUCAACUGGGAGGGUGCGCCGGAAACUGGAGGGCUUGGAGUGUGGGAUGGGAGAGUGGAAUUCCUGGUGUAGCGGUGAAAUGCGUAGAUAUCAGGAGGAACACCUGCGGUGUAGACGGCUCUCUGGACCAUAACUGACGCUGAAACACGAAAGCGUGGGUAGCAAACAGG